rnacentral:rRNA from 1 species
CCUACGGGAGGCAGCAGUGGGGAAUCUUAGACAAUGGGGGCAACCCUGAUCUAGCCAUGCCGCGUGAGUGAUGAAGGCCUUAGGGUCGUAAAGCUCUUUCGCCUGUGAUGAUAAUGACAGUAGCAGGUAAAGAAACCCCGGCUAACUCCGUGCCAGCAGCCGCGGUAAUACGGAGGGGGUUAGCGUUGUUCGGAAUUACUGGGCGUAAAGCGCGCGUAGGCGGAUUAGAAAGUUGGGGGUGAAAUCCCGGGGCUCAACCCCGGAACUGCCUCCAAAACUGCUAGUCUAGAGUUCGAGAGAGGUGAGUGGAAUUCCGAGUGUAGAGGUGAAAUUCGUAGAUAUUCGGAGGAACACCAGUGGCGAAGGCGGCUCACUGGCUCGAUACUGACGCUGAGGUGCGAAAGUGUGGGGAGCAAACAGGAUUAGAUACCCUGGUAGUCCACACCGUAAACGAUGAAUGCCAGUCGUCGGGUAGUAUACUAUUCGGUGACACACCUAACGGAUUAAGCAUUCCGCCUGGGGAGUACGGUCGCAAGAUUAAAACUCAAAGGAAUGACGG